rnacentral:lncRNA from 1 species
CUACUUUAUAUUAAAUGAAAUCCCUUUGAAUUAUCUUUCCAACGAUACUAAUUUCACCCAAAUCCGAUAUCGGAGCAAAGAGUUAUGGUCGAUUUACUUUAACCUAUCAAAACAGUCCACCAUGGACAGAUUCGGAUUUACUUAAAUUUUAAGGGCAAUAUGGUCAUUUUCCAUCACCUCAUGGACGAAAAUUGGUCAUUAUAUACAUAUACUUAGCCUCAUAUCCAUCAUUUAUCAUCCAAAUUAUUGAAGAAUAAGAAACCCUAGCCUAAGUUCAACUCCAAUUAUCUUGUGAUUCAACCGUAGAAAAUCCAAAUUGAUUCCGUAGUUGUGUUCACCGUCUCGAGGGCUUCGAGAAGCACCCCU